rnacentral:rRNA from 1 species
GAUGAACGCUGGCGGCGUGCCUAAUACAUGCAAGUCGAGCGAACAGAUGAGGAGCUUGCUCCUCUGACGUUAGCGGCUGACGGGUGAGUAACACGUGGAUAACCUACCUAUAAGACUUGGAUAACUUCGGGAAACCGGAGCUAAUACCGGAUAAUAUAUUGAACCGCAUGGUUCAAUAGUUAAACACGGUUUUGCUGUCUCUUUUAGAUGGUUCCGCGCCGCGUUAUCUAGUUGGUAAGGUAACGGCUUACCAAGGCAACGAGGCGUAGCCGGCGUGAGAGGAGGAUCAGCCAAACUGGAACUGAGACACGGUCAAGAAGACUAAGGGAGGCAGAAGUGGGGAAUAUUGGACAAGGGGCGAAAGCCUGAACAAGCAAUAACGCGUGAGUGAAGAAGGCCUUCGGAGUGUAAAGCCAUUUUGUUGGGAAAGAAAAGCAGCAGGUUAAUACCCCGCUGUUCUGAAGGUACCAAAAGAAUAAGAACCGGCUAACUUCGUG